GGAGAUAUAACUUAGUGGCAUAAAAGCAUCUGCCUGGCAAGCGCAAGGUUGUAAGUUUGAUUCCUGGUAGCUCCA
rnacentral:tRNA from 1 species